rnacentral:lncRNA from 1 species
UCCCUCGCUCCUCUGCAGCUCCUCCUCUCCUCCUCCAAUACACCCCUCUGGUUGUAGUCUAAGAUGUUUACGAUGAAUCGCUCGCUCCUCUCGCACUCGCUCCUCUCCCGCUCGCUCCACUCACACUGGCUCCGUAACAAACAAAUAAACCUGAAGCUUCAAUUACGACUUCACCUUGGACUCAUUAGGCAUUACCCUAAAAGUCCUUGGUUGUGUUGUGUGGUUAUUUAUUUUGAUGUUCUGUGUUGUGAUGUUUUGUGUAGUGGCGCAAUUUUAGCAUCGUGUCUUGUAAUGUGUUGUCAUGCAUGUGUUUGUGUUGUGAUGUCUUGUCUUUUACUUGAUUUUUUUCACUUAGUGCGGAAGUCCGUCUAAAAGGUGAGUUUGGUUCCUCCAGAGUGAUUUUUUAUAUGAAACAAGGUUAGUGUAGGACUCUUUUUCAUUUUGGUUUUCUUUAGGAAAAGGACCUCCAUUGAGAAGAAACCCCCAGAGGAGCCAAGCAGGAGACUGAAGACGCAGGAGGACCAAACCUACGCAAGACAGGCCCACUAAGAGAGAUGAAUGACGGGGAUGGGUACUGAGUGUUCCUGGAAAUUUGAGGGUAAAUAACUAUCAAUACUUAAAAGGUUAAUAAGUACAAUAUGCUGUCUUUUAAGAAGAAAAAAAACACAUUUUCACAGUAACUGAAGGGCUGUAAUUCAUGUUUGUUUUCAGGUAACUCCAAAGAGUCAAACACCCAAAAUGAGUCCAGAGGAGCCCAAAGAAGACGACCAACCCUGUGAUGCAGAAGGAGACUGGACGAACAAGACGACAUGGAGAAAUAAAGUAAGUAAAGUUUGAUGAAUUUGUCUUAUAUCAUUCAAUUGUUGUCUUGAUGUGCCGCACUAUUGACCUACUAAAGAUGAAUAUUUAGUUAGUGGGCUAUUGUGUAGGUUUACAAUAGGCAACAUAAUUAACACUUGCAGUAAUUUAUUUGCUCAAUGACAAACAGGCAAAAGUCGCCCUGUGCCUUGUUAAAAUAUAACCAAACAGUCUUAUUCAUAUUGUUUGUCUCCUUUUAUUUACCAAUUGCAGCAUCAUGCCUAGAAAGGAGAGGAGAAGAAGGAAACAGAAAGGGAGCUACAGCAGACAGCCCAGGGGAGCAGCUCUCUACUCUCCUGGAUAAAAGCAUCCACCAGCAGCAAGGAGGAAGAUGAAGAUGAAGAUAAAAGGUCAGAGUCAAGAGUCAUGUUCACUGUUUCAGGCAUUUUAAAGCUAAGAUGUUGUUCCUCUAAUUUUACUGAAUCAUCUUAAAAGCUGUACACGUUAUUUAAACUACACAAAGUGGUUUGGCUGUACUAAAUUAGGCAUUAAGCUAUUUUAGCUCAUUAUAUUAUUUUGUACCAACAAGUUAUUUCUAUGUUAAAAGACUUGCAGUCAUCUUGUAUUUACCUUAACAGGCUAUAUUCAACCUUAGAAAAAUAGACUAUUACUGAAACUAUUAUUAUUCUAUUCUAGACAGCUACAGCAGGGAGGCAGUCGACCAACGACCAGCAAAGAAGCCCAGAUAGACGAAUCUCCAGAGUCAUCUACAGAUAAAGCAGAGUCCAUAGCAGCACCAAGUCCAUGCACAGAAUCAGAAGUGCUGUCUGAUGACCAAAAUGAGGGCAAACAAGAAAGGCAUGAUGUAUCAGCUGUAUGUCAAAGAAAUGAAAUGUUAAAAAUAAAUAUGUUAAAAUGAAAACAAAGUUCCAUGUCUGUCUAAAUCCACCAUAGUGAUAGAUAAUCUAUCAUUGUAGCUUGUAACUUGCUUAAAACUUCUCCAUGUGCGUUUAUUCCAAAGAACUAAAACAAUAGUGAUUGACUGAGCAGUGCUAUCGUGUGA